AACGGGUGAGUAAUACAUCGGAACGUGCCCUGUAGUGGGGGAUAACUAGUCGAAAGAUUAGCUAAUACCGCAUACGACCUGAGGGUGAAAGUGGGGGACCGCAAGGCCUCAUGCUAUAGGAGCGGCCGAUGUCUGAUUAGCUAGUUGGUGAGGUAAAGGCUCACCAAGGCGACGAUCAGUAGCUGGUCUGAGAGGACGAUCAGCCACACUGGGACUGAGACACGGCCCAGACUCCUACGGGAGGCAGCAGUGGGGAAUCUUGGACAAUGGGCGAAAGCCUGAUCCAGCAAUGCCGCGUGUGUGAAGAAGGCCUUCGGGUUGUAAAGCACUUUUGUCCGGAAAGAAAUGGCUCUGGUUAAUACCUGGGGUCGAUGACGGUACCGGAAGAAUAAGGACCGGCUAACUACGUGCCAGCAGCCGCGGUAAUACGUAGGGUCCAAGCGUUAAUCGGAAUUACUGGGCGUAAAGCGUGCGCAGGCGGUUGUGCAAGACCGAUGUGAAAUCCCCGAGCUUAACUUGGGAAUUGCAUUGGUGACUGCACGGCUAGAGUGUGUCAGAGGGGGGUAGAAUUCCACGUGUAGCAGUGAAAUGCGUAGAGAUGUGGAGGAAUACCGAUGGCGAA
rnacentral:rRNA from 1 species